rnacentral:rRNA from 1 species
AUCAGCCGAAAGGUGAAAAGAAAUUCGCCUAGGGAUGAGCUUGCGGCUGAUUAGCUAGUUGGUGGUGUAAGGGACUACCAAGGCGACGAUCAGUAGCUGGUCUGAGAGGAUGAGCAGCCACACUGGGACUGAGACACGGCCCAGACUCCUACGGGAGGCAGCAGUGGGGAAUUUUCCGCAAUGGGCGAAAGCCUGACGGAGCAAGACCGCGUGGGGGAGGAAGGUUCUUGGAUUGUCAACCCCUUUUCUCGGGAAGAAUACAUGAGGGCCUGGAGAAUAACCUCCGCUACUCCCUGCCCCCGCCCCCGUAAUCGGAAGAAGCAGCGUUUUCGGAAUGAUUGGGCGUAAGAGUCGUAGGGGCUCCUCAGUCUUUGUCAAGCGCGAGCUUACUUCGUCAAGGCGUAGAACUGAGGAGCUAGAGACAGUAGGGGCAAAGGAAUUCUGGUGUACGGUGAAUGCGUAAGAUCGGAAAACACCGGGGCGAAGCGUCUGCUGGCUGCACUGACCUG